rnacentral:misc_RNA from 1 species
UGCCAUCACUAUCCAAUCCAAUCACGCAGUGUCGCCAGUGUCGCGCGGCGGCGCGAUUUUAGGAAGUUGUACUGAAAGUUUAAUGCGACGCGGACAGCAAAGUUUUUGCUCUGCCUUAGUUCUAAUUACGCUCCAAUUUCUCAAAUAGUGUACUGUGCAGUAGGUAGCGUCCAGAAGCAGCUGUAGCGCUAUCAAUGCUACGGGUACAUGCACGACCGAAGCCUCCUGUGGUAGAGUGACAACAGCCAUCCAAUGGACGAGAUGGAAAAGUUUCUAACGGCAUGCGUCACGAAUAGCAUAACGGCAGCGCGGAAUCUUCUGUUAAACGGAAUUCCCAUCAAUGGUCAAGACGUCGAAGGCAUAUCCGGCCUGCAUGUUGCAGCAGCAAAUGGCCACGUCAGUUUGGCAGAGCUCCUUCUUGAGGAAGGGGCAGACAUCGAUGUGGCAAACAACUGUGGCUGGACACCACUCAUGCAUGCAGCUCAGCAUGGGCAGGUGUCCAUGGUGUCGCUGCUGAUCAGGCACAGUGCAAACAUCAAUGCAACAAAUGUCUUAGGUGCAGGUGCCCUAACACUGGCAGCUGGUGGCGGUCACCAUUCCACCGUGCGUCUCCUUUUAGAGGCUGGGGCAGACAUUGCCGUGGGCAGAUUCCACCACACCUUUGAUCCCAUGCCCCUGACAGCUGCCGCCACCAACGGCCACGCCUCCAUCAUUUUGCUGCUUCUUCAGAAAGGCUGUCCCGUGAAUCAGGCAUACCCCACCACUGGCACGACUGCCCUCAUGCUGUGUGCGGCUGGUGGACAUCUCCAGGCAGCUCAGGCCCUGGUUGAACACGGCGCCGACCCAGACCUCAAGGAUAUGUGCGGCAAGACUGCCCUUGAUAUUGCGGUGGCCUGUACAAAAAUGGAGGUAGCUGAAUUCCUUCGUACCAAGACACAGGUGGCACAUAGCCCAGAACAAAACCCAACCAUCAACGACAUGCUUGAUGCCAUUGGAAAAACUGACUUGAAGUGGAUUAACGAAAUGCUCAAGGAGUACCCUUCGAGUGCCAACUGGACUCAUCCUAUCAAGGGAACCACUCCCCUAAUGUAUGCAGCAGAGUUGGGUCACCUGGACAUAGCUGCACUCUUGGUUCACAACAGUGCAGACAUCGAGCUACAGGACUAUUCUUCUGGGUGGACGGCUCUGAUGCAUGCUGUAUUUCAUGGGCAGACAAGCAUUGUCCGUUAUCUCGUCACUGUGGGAGCCAGUGUUGACGCUCUGGCUUGCAAUGGUGCAACCGCUCUUGACAUCGCUUGUUACAAUGAAAACAUGGAUGCCAGAAUUAGGCAAAUAUUGACUGACAAAGCUGUGGGGCAAAGCUUGCCUCGAGAACCAGCGGUGAUGGUACCUACCGACCCAGGGCACACCAAAGAGCCUCUUGAAUUGCAGCCACCCAAAGGACUGAAGGGUUGGAUUGGACAGGUAACACAAAAGCUUACUCAACUCACAGUCAAGCAGUCGGGGCCCUCAACACCGGGCAUGGCAGUGCCGUCUACAAUCCCUGUAACUCCAAAUCUGCAAUCGCUAAGCCUGUCACCAAUCAGGCCCUGUGCAAUACCAGUUCUGAACAUCUGCUUUGCAGCAGCCCCUGCUUCUUCUUUCCAAACAAGUACUCUUGCUCCAGUUGUGCUUCAGGACCUCUUGGAAAAAAAGACCGCCUUCUCGCCAAUAAUGUCAUCAGCACCAGCGUGCCAUUCGGACUGGGUUACACAAAAACUCUGGGAACCAAAACACCUCAUUCAUCCUCUCAUGAGAUCCAAUCUUGGCCAAGCAUAUCUCUGUAAGUCUUCAGUAUGAAGCUUUUAACAGUAUGGAGUUGAAUUCUCUGUAUAUCUUGUACGACUUUUUCAUAGUAUCACAAAUCACGUGGAUCUCUACAGUGCAUAAACAAGCAACGUCCACCUUGUUAAAGAAAGGCACAUCCGUCCUGAAUUGCUCCAGCUACCCCGAUACCAACAAGCUGUCUGAUUGCCAAUCA